CAUAUAACCUCUAUGGGUGAUCUGGUGUUGGCAUAUGGAAAAAGAGCAUCCACCCUAUGAUUCAUAGAUUUUAGUCAUUAAUUUCAUGAAUUCUAGUGGUUCACUGCAGGAUGCAUCUAAAGUGCAUGUCCAAGCUCAUUGGAGUGUGCUAAGAUGCUUGUGACAUGACUACUGGAGAUUUAGAACAAAUAAGGGAAAAAAAACUGCAUGAUUGCAUGAGGAUUUCACG
rnacentral:lncRNA from 1 species